GUGAUUGUGCUAGCUGUAGUGCUUUAGGUAUUAAUAGCAUGCCCCUCCAUCUAACUAUAUAAAAGUGUUGAAAAUCAGAGGGGAGAAAAAGAAACAAUCCAACAUUAGAAAGAAAGGUAUUGCAGAUGUUGGAGUGUUCCUUUAAGCAGGGGUGUGGAGUUUGUAUCACCCGACACCAGAAAAAUGUAGUUCUAGGGGCCAAACAGAGCGAGCUAAUUUUUGGCCUGCUAAAGGGGAACUUUGGGUGGUCUGGGGAGAGAGCAUGUGGACUGCAUUCCUGGCAGCUGCAGCCCGCAGUAAU